GAUCUGAUUCCGACCGCCAUAGGGAGUGGCUCCAGAUACCGUUAGCGAUCAAUUAAAAACGAGACAAAUGUUUUGGACGAGAGAGAGAGAGGGAGAGAGAAGAAAAAGAGAAACAAAAUUCACGCUCGGCGUGAAAGGAGCCCAAGACACACCGAAAUGUAUAAGCACACACAGCAACAACAGCCGGAUUCCGGUGCGCAGUGAGAAGCCUUUCUGUUCUUCUGUCUGGAAAAAGUGUGUUACCUCCACUUGGAAAAGGGAACAACAACAAAGAAAUGAAGCAACUUUUUUCUUUCUUUUUUUCAUGGUGAGACCACACCAACUUCAUUGUCAACUUGCGAAAGCUCAUCGCAACCAUGGUGAUAUAGAAAGCACAGUUAUGUCACAGCUUUGGGUUUUUUUCUUGGCGCACAUAGAGAGAGACCAUUUUAGUUUUCUUUCGAUUAGACAGGUAGAAGAGAACGGGUUCUAACCGUGGCCUUAUAUUAAGUUUUCUUUAUUUUUUCGUUCAUCACCAGCUUUAGAAUAUUAGCAAAAUGUCUGUAUUUCUUUUACUCGUGUUAUGCAGUGGCCCAUCACAAUCCAGCAGUCACGAUCUCUCGCUUUUAUAUGAAGACAUUUUCGUUCUUAUUUUCAUUUCAGUCCAGACGCUCGUCUGAAAUAUGGGGGACAAGAAGCUU